UACCAGCAGCCCGAGUGGUCGGGACGAUUAUUGGGCCUAAAGCAUCCGUAGCCGGCCUUACAAGUCCUCCGUUAAAUCCAGCUGCUUAACAGAUGGGCUGCGGAGGAUACUAUAAGACUAGGAGGCAGGAGAGGCAAGCGGUACUCAGUGGGUAGGGGUAAAAUCCGUUGAUCCAUUGAAGACCACCAGUGGCGAAGGCGGCUCACUGGGGGUCUUCUGACGCUGAGGAACGAAAGCCAGGGGAGCGAACGGG
rnacentral:rRNA from 1 species